rnacentral:rRNA from 1 species
GCUUGUCUCAAAGAUUAAGCCAUGCAUGUCUAAGUAUAAACAACUUUGUACUGUGAAACUGCGAAUGGCUCAUUAAAUCAGUUAUAGUUUAUUUGAUGGUGCUUACUACAUGGAUAACCGUGGUAAUUCUAGAGCUAAUACAUGCGCAAAAGACCCGACUGUUUGGGAGGGUUGUAUUUAUUAGAUAAAAAACCAAUGCCCUUCGGGGCUCCUUGGUGAUUCAUGAUAACUAUACGAAUCGCACGGCCUUGCGCCGGCGAUGGUUCAUUCAAAUUUCUUCCCUAUCAACUUUCGAUGUUUGGGUAUUGGCCAAACAUGGUUGCAACGGGUAACGGAGGGUUAGGGCUCGACCCCGGAGAAGGAGCCUGAGAAACGGCUACUACAUCCAAGGAAGGCAGCAGG